GACUUCUGGUGUAAUGUGCCUGGCCCGCGGCUCUUUAGGCUUGUGAGUGCCGGAGCGCGUUUACCAUCCUUCUGGGGAACGAGUCUACCGUUUACUCGGCCGGAUUCGGGAUCCAGAUCAUUUACUUUGAAAAAAUUAGAGUGUUUAAAGCAGGCUAUUGCUAUGAAUACAUUAGCAUGGAAUAAUAAUCUAGGACUUCGGUUCUAUUUUGUUGGUUUCUAAAGCUGAAGUAAUGAUUGAUAGGGAUAGUUGGGGGUGCUAGUAUUGGCCGGUCAGAGGUGAAAUUCUUGGAUUCGGUCAAGACUAACUUAUGCGAAAGCAUU
rnacentral:rRNA from 2 species